AAACGAUGUUGUUUUCUCUUCAAAAGAUGUUUGGUUUCCUACACACAUCACAUCGUAACUGUUCUCAGAAAGCGGUCUCCCCCACGGUCUGUGUGAGAGAGUGUCGGGGCGGGUGUGACACAGGGAGCGAGUGCUAAUUGGAGAGUUUGACCGACAGUGCCACAGUCGACAGGUCUCUUGUGAAUUUUAGUGUGCACCGGUGGAAAAUAUUCACCUCUUAUCCUCUCCAGCCCCUCUGCAAGAUGCUUUAAUUCUGUCAAGGACAAGAACACUGCCUGAUGUUUGAGAUAAAGUCAUGGACGUCCUGCCUGAUCUCUAUCUACACCCAUAAUGCUUUUCAGCAAUCGUCCCUGUAGGCAUCAGAGACAAUCAUCUUCAGACAGAUCCUGGAUAAGGCAGUUGACUUUGAUUGGCUUUGUGUUUGUGUGUGUUGAUGCGGAGGGAUGUGCAUUCUGUGCCAUUUUUAGUUCAGGUAUUCCACAAAGGCAUUUAAAGUUCAUAUUAACUGUGUGUUUUAGUUUCUGAGUUAAAUGGUGAGUGUGUUAAUGUAUGUCAGAGAGGGGUUCCACCGUCUACGUCAGUCAUUUCCUAAAGUAAUUAUUUCCCGGAGAGGACAUUACUGCGAAUAGGAAAGUCAUUAUUUCUGCGAAACCCCCCAAAAUCAUCUCAAUUUUUGUUUAACAAAUCGGUUUUGCACACAACAAAUGCUAUUGCUUUCCUCUU